rnacentral:rRNA from 1 species
GGACGAACGCUGGCGGCGCGCCUAACACAUGCAAGUCGAACGAGCGAGAGAGAGCUUGCUUUCUCGAGCGAGUGGCGAACGGGUGAGUAACGCGUGAGGAACCUGCCUCAAAGAGGGGGACAACAGUUGGAAACGACUGCUAAUACCGCAUAAGCCCACGGUGCCGCAUGGCACAGAGGGAAAAGGAGCAAUCCGCUUUGAGAUGGCCUCGCGUCCGAUUAGCUAGUUGGUGAGGUAACGGCCCACCAAGGCGACGAUCGGUAGCCGGACUGAGAGGUUGAACGGCCACAUUGGGACUGAGACACGGCCCAGACUCCUACGGGAGGCAGCAGUGGGGAAUAUUGCACAAUGGGGGAAACCCUGAUGUAGCGACGCCGCGUGGAGGAAGAAGGUCUUCGGAUUGUAAACUCCUGUUGUUGGGGAAGAUAAUGACGGUACCCAACAAGGAAGUGACGGCUAACUACGUG